AGAUGAUUUUUUUCCUCCACUUAGUAGCUUUUAUGAAAAUUUCUCUUUAGGAUAAUACUCAAAGGACUGCCCGUGUGGAAAUUCUGGAUCAGCCAGCUUGGGGUAGCUGUGAAGAUGAGUAGCAUCCUAGAUAUGGGAUACUGCAUGUCAAAAUACAGAGAUCUGUGGGUUGCUCCGAUGAGCUGAAUGACCCAGAAGAUAAAAGAGGAAGGUUGAGAUCACUGUAGAAGCAGUGAGAAACCAGCAAGAAACUGAGCUCGGCUCCCUGGCUCACAUAGACAUGGAACAGAGAUCACAUCUGUGAGUGGAGGAGCCAGACUUUUCAUAUAAGCACAUGUAAAACUUUUGAAGUUGGCUGAUCCAAGAAUAGAUUCAAAUUCUUCAGCCAAGAGUCUAGACCAACUGACUUUUUCCACUUCAUUGCCUAGUAAGUACUCUCUCCUACCCUUUCUUUUCCAGUGGUCUGAGGGUGAAAGGUGAUACUGCCUGAAGGGAGGGCUUU
rnacentral:lncRNA from 1 species